GACGAACGCUGGCGGCGUGCUUAACACAUGCAAGUCGAACGGAAAGGCCCUGCUUUUGUGGGGUGCUCGAGUGGCGAACGGGUGAGUAACACGUGAGUAACCUGCCCUUGACUUUGGGAUAACUUCAGGAAACUGGGGCUAAUACCGGAUAGGAGCUCCUGCUGCAUGGUGGGGGUUGGAAAGUUUCGGCGGUUGGGGAUGGACUCGCGGCUUAUCAGCUUGUUGGUGGGGUAGUGGCUUACCAAGGCUUUGACGGGUAGCCGGCCUGAGAGGGUGACCGGCCACAUUGGGACUGAGAUACGGCCCAGACUCCUACGGGAGGCAGCAGUGGGGAAUAUUGCACAAUGGGCGGAAGCCUGAUGCAGCAACGCCGCGUGCGGGAUGACGGCAUUCGGGUUGUAAACCGCUUUCGCCUGUGACGAAGAGUGAGUGACGGUAAUGGGUAAAGAAGCACCGGCUAACUACGUG
rnacentral:rRNA from 1 species